rnacentral:rRNA from 1 species
UACAGAGGGGGCAAGCGUUGUUCGGAAUUACUGGGCGUAAAGGGCGCGUAGGCGGCCUGCUAAGUCGAACGUGAAAUCCCUGGGCUCAACCCAGGAACUGCGUCCGAUACUGGUUGGCUUGAAUCCGGGAGAGGGAUGUGGAAUUCCAGGUGUAGCGGUGAAAUGCGUAGAUAUCGUGAGGAAGACCAGUUGCGAAGGCGACUCUCUGGGCAAUUCCUGACACUGAGGCACGAAGGCCAGGGGAGCAAACGGG